UCUUUCUAAUAUUGACUAUUAGGAUAUUCUGAAGAGCAUAGCUUGCUGCAGUGUCGAUAGUGCAGAUUUGAAAGAUAUAGACCUGUGGGAGUAUCAUUACUAUGAAGACCACUGCACCAAUCUGCCUUCUGCUGUUAGUCCUGUUUCUCUGUUCUCUGUUUCUGAGCAACUCCGACGCCCUGGCUAGAUUCACUCAACGUCGCUUUAUUCGACAAGGAAAAAAAGGAAAAAGUCAUGGUAGAAGAUCUUCCAGCAACAACAGAUCCUCCGGUAGAGAUCCUAGAUUCUUUCGCGAGAUACACAAUGAGACACCGAGGAAAGAAUCAAAGGUUUCUUGGUGGUGAUGACGAGAAAACUCAGCCAAGACAAAGGACUAUCUGAUGGAAUAUAAAGACAGAUUAUUUAUUUGCAAUUCAACAAAAAUGAUCGAAACAUUACAGUUUUAAAAUGUUCUGAUAAGAAGAUUUCUUAUAUUUGGUGAUAAGUUCUGAAGACUGGGAUUUUUAAAUCCGUCUUGAGGUUUAAAACCACGGUGCAUUAAAGCGACUUAUCUGUGUAAUCAACAAAUUAUGAGAAAAAAGUUCUGUUGGCCUGAAGUAAAAUUUUCUGUCUAAAGUUUCAAUAUAUUUUGAAACUAUAAAUUAACUAUCAAAUGCGUCAUAGAACAAUAAAGCGUAGAAGUGGUCA